CUGUUAUUGACUGUCUUUACCCCAUCUGGCGAUCCAUUACUGGCGGCACAACAGACAGGGCUCUUCGGGAGGACAAUGGUCGUGUUUUGAAGGUACCCAGAGAUAGUGGGAUUAAUCAUUUCCAUUAGUGCAUGAGAACCCUUCUCUCUGCUAAAGCCUGAAGUGACUCUGCCAAAGCUGGGACCAUGUCUGGAGGCUACGACGAGACCGCGAGUCAGGAGGAGACCAGUGACAGCUUCUGGGAGGUUGGGAACUACAAGCGGACAGUAAAGAGAAUCGAUGACGGUCACAGGCUCUGCAAUGACCUCAUGAACUGUAUCCAGGAGCGUGCCAAAAUAGAGAAGGCCUAUGCGCAGCAGCUAACUGAGUGGUCUAAAAGAUGGAGACAGCUGGUAGAA